rnacentral:rRNA from 1 species
AUUGAACGCUAGCGGGAUGCCUUACACAUGCAAGUCGAACGGAGUGGCGAACGGGUGAGUAAUGUAUCGGAACGUGCCCAGUAGCGGGGGAUAACUACGCUAAAGCGUCGCUAAUACCGCAUACUUUUUUAGCGGCCGAUAUCGGAUUAGCUAGUUGGUUGAGUAACGGCUCACCAAGGCGACAAUCCGGAGCUGGUUUGAGAGGACGACCAGCAACACGGGGACUGCGACACGGCCCAGACUCCUACGGGAGGCAGCAGUGGGGAAUUUUGGACAAUGGGGGAAACCCUGAUCCAGCCCUCCCGCGUGUGCGAUGAAGGCCUUCGGGUUGUAAAGCACUUUUGGCAGGAAAGCGGUACCUGCAGAAUAAGCACCGGCUAACUACGUGCCAGCCGCCGCGGUAAUAC